AUUGAACGCUGGCGGCAGGCCUAACACAUGCAAGUCGAACGAGUGGCGGACGGGUGAGUAAUGUCUGGGAAACUGCCUGAUGGAGGGGGAUAACUACUGGAAACGGUAGCUAAUACCGCAUACCAUCGGAUGUGCCCAGAUGGGAUUGGCUAGUAGUUGGGGUAAAGGCUCACCUAGUCGACGAUCCCUAGCUGGUCUGAGGGGAGGACCAGCCACACUGGACCGGGGACACGGUCCGGACUCCUACGGAGGGCGGCGGAGGGGAAUAUUGCACAAUGGGCGCAAGCCUGAUGCAGCCAGGCGGGGUGUAGGAAGAAGGCCUCCGGGUUGUAAAGUACUUUCAGCGGGAAGGCGGUACCCGCAGAAGAAGCACCGGCUAACUCCGUGCCAGCAGCCGCGGUAAUUC
rnacentral:rRNA from 1 species